rnacentral:lncRNA from 1 species
UAUGUCUUUUAAUAUAUUAUUUUUCUUAACUCAUGUUAGGGCAUUACAGUCUUCCCUUGGUAUCCUGCUAUUUUGUGGGAGAUUGUUUUCAGGACACCCAUGGAUACCAAACUCCAUAGAUGCUCAAGUCCCUCAGAUAAAAUAGCAUAGUAUUUGCAUGUAACUUACACAUAUCUUCCCAUACGCUUUAAAAGAAAAGUUGCCAAUUCUUGCUCUAG